rnacentral:tRNA from 1 species
GGGACAUGGCGGAAUAGGCAGACGCAACGGACUUAAAAUCCGUUGGGAAUUAUACUCCCGUGCGGGUUCAAGUCCCGCUGUCCCC